CCGGCACGGGUGAGUAACACGUAUCCAACCUGCCGUCUACUCUUGGCCAGCUCUGAAAGGAAGAUUAAUCCAGGAUGGCAUCAUGAGUUCACAUGUCCGCAUGAUUAAAGGUAUUUUCCGGUAGACGAUGGGGAUGCGUUCAUUAGAUAGUAGGCGGGGUAACGGCCCACCUAGUCAACGAUGGAUAGGGGUUCUGAGAGGAAGGUCCCCCACAUUGGAACUGAGACACGGUCCAA
rnacentral:rRNA from 1 species